rnacentral:rRNA from 2 species
AAUAGGUAUGCUUAGGGAGGAGCUUGCGUCACAUUAGUUAGUUGGUGGGGUAAAGGCCUACCAAGACUAUGAUGUGUAGCCGGGCUGAGAGGUUGAACGGCCACAUUGGGACUGAGACACGGCCCAAACUCCUACGGGAGGCAGCAGUAGGGAAUUUUCGGCAAUGGAGGAAACUCUGACCGAGCAACGCCGCGUGAACGAUGAAGUAUUUCGGUACGUAAAGUUCUUUUAUUAGGGAAGAAUAAAUGAUGGAAAAAUCAUUCUGACGGUACCUAAUGAAUAAGCCCCGGCUAACUAUGUGCCAGCAGCCGCGGUAAUACAUAGGGGGCAAGCGUUAUCCGGAAUUAUUGGGCGUAAAGGGUGCGUAGGCUGUUAAAUAAGUUUAUGGUCUAAGUGCAAUGCUCAACAUUGUGAUGCUAUAAAAACUGUUUAGCUAGAGUAAGAUAGAGGCAAGUGGAAUUCCAUGUGUAGUGGUAAAAUGCGUAAAUAUAUGGAGGAACACCAGUAGCGAAGGCGGCUUGCUGGGUCUUUACUGACGCUGAGGCACGAAAGCGUGGGGAGCAAACAGGAUUAGAUACCCUGGUAGUCCACGCCGUAAACGAUGAGUACUAAACGUUGGGUAAAACCAGUGUUGAAGUUAACACAUUAAGUACUCCGCCUGAGUAGUACGUACGCAAGUAUGAAACUUAAAGGAAUUGACGGGACUCCGCACAAGCGGUGGAUCAUGUUGUUUAAUUCGAAGGUACCCGAAAAACCUCACCAGGUCUUGACAUGCUUCUGCAAAGCUGUAGAAACACAGUGGAGGUUAUCAGUUGCACAGGUGGUGCAUGGUUGUCGUCAGCUCGUGUCGUGAGAUGUUGGGUUAAGUCCCGCAACGAGCGCAACCCUUAUUGUUAGUUGCCAGCACGUAAUGUGGGGACUUUAGCAAGACUGCCAGUGAUAAAUUGGAGGAGGUGGGGACGACGUCAAAUCAUCAUGCUCCUUAUGACCUGGGCUACAAACGUGAUACAUUGCUGUACAAGGUUAGCUGAAACGCAAGUUUUUGGCGAUCUCAAAAACAGUCUCAGUUCGGAUUGAGUCUGCACCUCGACUCAUGAGUUGUAUCGCUAGUAUCGCG